CAUAUCCCCAUCCCCAUCCCGUGCAAGGUAAGGAUGAAGGACUGAGCAGGGGGACGGGGAUGGGGGGGGGUCCGGGCGGCCCGGUAGGGCUGCCCGGACCACCCCCCCAUCCCCGUCCCCCUGCAGAAGACCCCCACCCAUCACCCCCACAUCCCCAUAUCCUCAUCCCCAUCCCGAGCAAGGUAAGGAUGAACUACGUAAAAAUGAAUCAAAUCCUUAGGAAUUCUUGCACAGGUGUUAACACACACCUGUUGGGAGCCGCCACGGCUUUGCUCUGAUCCCACUUUAAGCAGGAGGCAAUUAGUUCGCCGGGCUGAUGCUGCUGGAGUUCUGCCAGCACAGUGUUUUUCCACUAUUGUGAGGCCUCCCACUGCCAGUCCCUCAGUGGACUGUGCCUCCUGCAAACACACACAUGCCCAAGAUUUGGCACAGCCGUACGUGGAGCUGGGAUUUGUAGCCAGUGAUUCAGGCAGAACAUUCCGGUGGCAGAGGGGGAGCUGCAGGCAGAGUCAGCUGUGGUGACAACCUGUGAUCCAGUUGCAGAGGUCAGGCUGUCACUGCUGUCUCUGGGACUCCUGUCUCCCCCCCGUUGCUCUGCUCCUGCCGCAGUGGCCAUGUCUGGCAGCAGGAGGUGGUGGGGACAAGGACCCCGGCGGGGUGAGCCAGCCCUGCCGGGGGAUCCCUGCUGGUCCAGCAGGGCUGAGGACACAGAGUCACCUCAGAGAAGCUGCCACGCACAUGUGUGUUAGCACAGCUCCACAGUGUUGGUUUUGCAAAAUAUUUAUUGCAAAAUAAAAGUAAAUAUGGCAACAAAACUUAAAUAGCAAAUGACGUGACACUGGCCAUAAAGCUCUUGCUAUAUUAUGAGUCUUUUACAAUAAUCAAUAUUGUCAAGUGUGUCUCCCAGGGCAGCUGCACGGGGACAGCCCGAGUCUGUUGCUGUGUCACUGGCUCCAGCUGUCUGGGAUCUGUGAGAAUUGUGCCUCCUGCUCACACCUGUACCUGGCCAGAUCCCCCUGCACCAGACAGGAGUCACACAGGAGUACCUUCCAUGCUCCCUGAAACCUGCUGGGUUGUACCCCAGCCCCUCCUCCUCUUUUUCCUUUUAAAGCCGCUGCAGCUGACCCACUGCCCAUCCCCUUCCAUAAUGGAAUGGAGAAACAUUGCUGAAGUACCUACUGCUCCUGCUUUGAGUCACAGCUUCUUCUGAAAGGUUGCUUGGAUUUCUUUCCCUUCCCACCUACUAGGAAAAGACAGGCAGCCUUGGAGGAGAGACUGUUGGAGCAGCCAGGGAUCAGGUUAGGAAAGCUAAAGCCUGAUAGAAUUAAACCUGGCCAGGGACGUCAAGGGCAACAAGCAAAGCCUCUACAGGUACAUCGGUGAUAAAAGGGAGAGUAGAGAAAAUGUGGGCCCUCUCCAGAAGGAAACGAGAGACCUGGUUCCCCAGGACAUGGAGAAGGCUGGGAUGGAUACUCAGCGACAUUUGUCUCAACCUUCAUGGCAAGUGCUCCAGCCACAGCACCUGAGCCACAGGAGGCAAAGGCAGGGAGUGGGAGAAGGAAGAACUGCCCACCGUGGGAGAGGAUCAGGGUCGAGAAGGUCUAAGGGACCUGAAGGGGCACAAGUCCAUGGGACCUAACGAGAUGCACCCAUGGGUCCAGAGGGAACUGGCAGAGGAAGUGGCUCAGCCACUAUCCAUCAUAUUUGAGAAGUCAUGGCAGUCCAGUGAAGUUCUCAUGGAGUGCAAAAGGGGAAGCAUAACCCCCCUUUUUUAAAAAGGGGAGUAAGGAAGACCCAGGGAACUACAGGCUGGUAAGUCUCACCUCGGUGCCCAGCAGAGCAUGGAGCAGAUCCUCCUGGAAACUAUGCUAAGGCACAUGGAAAAUAAGGAGGUGAUUGGUGACAGCCAACAUGGCCUUACUAAGGGCAAAUCAUGAGAACCUGGAGCCCCUUCCAGCGCCUAUAGGUGCUACAAGAGAGCAGGAGAGGGACUUUGGACAAGGGCCUGGAAUGACAGGACAAGGCAGAAUGGCUUCCCACUGCCAGAGGGAAGGGUUAUAUGGGAUAUUGGGAAGAAAUUCUUCCCUGUAAGGGUGGGGAGGCCCUGGCACAGGUUGCCCAGAGAAGCUGUGGCUGCCCCAUCCCUGGAAGUGUCCAAAGCCAGGCUGUACAGGGCUUGGAGCAACCUCGGCUGGUGGAAGGUGUCCCUGCUCAUGGCAAGGGGAUUGGAAUAGAUGAUCUUUAAGUCUCUUCCAACCCAAACCCUUCUGUGAUACUGCAGCCUGUUAUUAGAGCUCACCAGUGAGAGAGCGAAUCUGUACUGCUGUUUAAAGGGCUUUUAGGUGCGCUCCAAACAGGAGCUUCUUAAGCCACAUGUCCAAUGGAAGCACUCUUUACAUAAAAUACAAUUAAAUUAUAAAAGGUAA